AUGGCCCCAGAUUGGACAAUGUGAUCCAAACUGUUCUAAAUGGAGAUGAGAAGACGGGUGUCACUAUCAUGCAGAUUAGACAAAAAAGGUUUGAUGUUGACCCUAUUGUGAUGCGGAAGAUGUACCCUGUUCCCCCAAGGUGCACUUCUAAGGAUCUGGAAGCUUUCUAAAAAUGAGGCUGAAAUGGUAAAAGCUUAAUGACCUCUUACUCAAAGAUGCCCCUUCAGGCUGUCUGGAUUGGCUCACCCAUUAAACUUCUUAACUUUGUGGAAAUUCCAGACUCUGUUAAAGUUCCAGGGGCCUGAACUUCUAUUCCCCCUGCUUUUAGCGAUGCUGAAAGUUAGGCAGCACUGCUAAAGGGAGUCAAAAGUGUUCUGGCAGCUGGACUAGGGGAUGUCAAGCAGGGCUGCCAACAGGGGUGCAAAGGGGUGACUAUUGUCCCAGGCCUAGCAGAGAAGAACAAAGCCACGGCAACUGAAAAGAACUAAGAAGCCACGACGGAAAAGAACGAAGAAGCUGUGACAGAAAAGAACAAAGAAACCGCGUUGGAAAAGUAUAAAGAAACCCGCAACCAAAAAGAAUGAAGAAGCCCAUGACGGAAAGGAAAUUAAGGCAAUCGUACGAAAGUUAUGUCCGACAAAAGCUGGUGAAAGUCUCCCACUGAAGAUCGUUAGAUCGGCAAUACAUGCAGAGAUAUUAUCGGCAGCCGACAGAAAUUUUUUAACCUGUCUGAUCCACUGAACGACCGAUUGGCAUGGCACGACUGAUGUCAGGACACUCCACAUACGAUCUGAAAAUCGUACGAAUCGACAUUCUGUAAGUCAAUUCCUGUCUUGCCCUUGUCCCCCUGUGCUUUGACUCUCUGUAUUUUUUUAAUCCUUGGCCUAUUUUGUGGACUUUUAUUCUUUUCUGCCUG